CUUAAUGUGGCAGAAAUUAAAUGCAAUGAAUUUAAGCUUCAUUUAUAAAGACUCUUCUUUCGUUAAGA
rnacentral:tRNA from 1 species